GAUGAACGCUGGCGGCGUGCCUAAUACAUGCAAGUCGAGCGAACGGACGAGAAGCUUGCUUCUCUGAUGUUAGCGGCGGACGGGUGAGUAACACGUGGAUAACCUACCUAUAGGACUGGGAUAACUUCGGGAAACCGUAGCUAAUACCGGAUAAUAUUUUGAACCGCAUGGUUCAAAAGUGAAAGACGGUCUUGCUGUCACUUAUAGAUGGAUCCGCGCUGCAUUAGCUAGUUGGUAAGGUAACGGCUUACCAAGGCAACGAUGCAUAGCCGACCUGAGAGGGUGAUCGGCCACACUGGAACUGAGACACGGUCCAGACUCCUACGGGAGGCAGCAGUAGGGAAUCUUCCGCAAAGGGCGAAAGCCUGACGGAGCAACGUCGCGUGAGUGAUGAAGGUCUUCGGAUCGUAAAACUCUGUUAUUAGGGAAGAACAUAUGUGUAAGUAACUGUGCACAUCUUGACGGUACCUAAUCAGAAAGCCACGGCUAACUACGUG
rnacentral:rRNA from 1 species